rnacentral:piRNA from 1 species
UUGACCUUGCGCAAGUUACUCACUCUCUCU